rnacentral:rRNA from 1 species
AGCCUUAGGAACUCCAUCUAAGGUUAUACCUGCCCAAUGUAAAUUAAUAUCAAUGGCCGCGGUACUCUGACCGUGCUAAGGUAGCGCAAUCAAUUGGCUUUUAAUUGUAGCCAGGUAUGAAUGGAGUUACGGGGUUUAGCUGUCUCUUAGUUAAUUUAUCGAAAUUACUAUUAAGGUGAAAAAGCCUUAAAAAUAAAAAAGGACGAGAAGACCCUUAGAGUUUGUCUUAUAUUGAAUUAUUUUCAAAUCAGUUUUGUUGGGGCAACAUUGGAUCAGUUUAACAUCCAAAAAUAAAUAUAAGCCGACAUUUAUAAGCUUGAAUAAACUACCUUAGGGAUAACAGCAUAAUUUUAUUAAUAAGUUUGUGACCUCGAUGUUGGACUAGGAAACUAAGAGGUUAGCCGCCUUUUAGGUAAGUUCUGUUCGAACUAUUAUUCCU